UACGGGGGGGGGCAAGCGUUGUUCGGAAUUACUGGGCGUAAAGGGCUCGUAGGUGGCCAACUAAGUCAGACGUGAAAUCCCUCGGCUUAACCGAGGAACUGCCCUCCAAACUGCUUGGCUUGAGUCCGGGAGAGGUGAGUGGAAUUCCCAGUGUAGCGGUGAAAUGCGUAGAUAUUGGGAGGAACACCAGUGGCGAAGGCGGCUCACUGGACCGGAACUGACGCUGAGGCGCGAAAGCGUGGGGAGCAAACGGGG
rnacentral:rRNA from 1 species